GUGACCAACACGUAUUCUGUAACGCGUAACGGUCGGCUGUAGGUGCUUUAUUGUUGUAACGUGUGCUGUUGUGAUCACUAACAAAUUGGUGAUGACUGAAAUUGUUUCCUAAAAAGAUAAAUUUCUACUUCUGACUGUGCGCAUGCGCGGAGAAAGGGCUGAGUGAUCAGGGUGUUAGUACAGUAUCGCUUGUCGGUAUACCAGAGUAGGUGCCGGUGCGUUCUGCGGUGCAGAGGGUCGCCAUGCUCAGGGGCGUGCUGCUGCUGUCCGGCGCCGCGGUGCUGCUCGCGCUCGCCCCGUGUUGGGGAUCUUUCCCGGAGGAGCGCUGGAACCCCGAGUCUCCUCUGCUGGCACCGCGCGUUCUGCUCGCGCUGCUGUGCCGUAACUCGGAGCGGUCACUCCCGCAUGUUCUCGGCACCAUCGACCGCCUGCACUACCCCAAGGACCGCAUAGCUGUAUGGGUGGCGACGGACCACAACGCAGACAACACGGCUUCGGUCCUUCGCGAGUGGCUCAUUAAAGUUCAGACUUUAUAUCACUAUGUGGAGUGGAGACCACAGGAGGAACCCAGCGAGUAUGAAGACGAGGUCGGACCGAAGCAGUGGACCGAUCUACGUUAUAAGCACGUGAUGAAGCUACGGCAGGCAGCGCUGGAAACCGCCAGGCAGAUGUGGGCCGACUACUUUCUGUUGGUGGACUGUGAUAAUCUUCUCACUAACCCUGACGUCCUUUGGAAGCUGAUGAAGGAAAACAAAACUAUUGUGGCACCAAUGAUGAAGUCCAGAACUGCGUACUCAAACUUCUGGUGCGGAAUGACCUCUCAGGGCUACUACAGGCGUACCCCAGACUACAUGCCCAUAAGGAGUCAGGAGAGGCGUGGCUGUUUCCCCGUCCCCAUGGUCCACUCCACCUUCCUGCUGGACCUGAGGAAACAGGCCUCCAGCCGGCUGGCCUUCUAUCCUCCACACCCCGACUACACCUGGGCCUUCGACGACAUCAUAGUGUUCGCCUUCUCCGCCCGCAUGGCAGAUGUUCAGAUGUUCGUGUGUAACAGAGAGACGUACGGCUACAUCCCUGUCCCGCUGCAUACCCAUCAUUCCUUGCGAGACGAGGCUGAUAACUUCCUGCACACGCUGCUCGAGGUCAUGGUGCACGGUUCUCCUGUGGAUCCCUCAGGACAUCUCUCUGUCCCUCACAAACACCCUGAUAAACUGGGCUUUGAUGAGGUGUUUGUGAUUAACCUGCUGAGACGUUCAGAUCGUAGAGAGAGAAUGUUAAGGACUCUGUGGGAGCAGGAGAUCUCCUGUAAGGUCAUCAACGCAGUGGACGGCAAAGCACUGAAUGACAGUCAGAUCCGUGCUUUAGGGAUCAGAAUGUUACCCAGUUACAGUGAUCCGUAUCAUGGGAGGCCGCUCACUAGAGGAGAACUUGGCUGCUUCCUGUCUCACUACAACAUCUGGACUGAGAUUGUAGAGCAGGGACUGCAGAGAUCUCUGGUUCUAGAAGAUGAUUUGCGCUUUGAGCUUUUCUUUAAAAGGAAACUCCAGAAACUGAUGCAGGACGUGGAAGCAGAAGGACUGGACUGGGAUUUAAUUUACAUCGGGAGGAAGCGGAUGCAGGUGGAACAUCCAGAGAAACCGGUUCCCAACAUCCGGAACUUAGUGGAGGCCGACUAUUCCUACUGGACGCUGGGCUACAUGAUCUCAUUACAAGGAGCCAAUAAGCUGCUGAGGGCGGAGCCUCUGACCAAAAUGCUUCCUGUAGAUGAGUUUCUGCCCAUCAUGUACAACAAGCACCCAGUGUAAGAGUUUAACACACUCUGCGUUUGUGUUUGGUUCAGGUCAGGUGAGAGGGAUGAGGCUUUUAUUACACAGAAAAACAGAUUCAGUGGAGGCAGGACUACAUGUCUCACUAUGAGGUGAGGGAUCUGUCGGCGUUCUCUGCUGAGCCGUUACUCGUCUACCCCACGCACUACACGGGCGACCCCGGGUACAUCAGCGACACAGAGACGUCUACCGUGUGGAACAACGAGACCGUCCGCACCGACUGGGACCGACAGCGUUCGGAAAAGAACCAUGCCAUGCACUCGCAUGCUACCUCUGACCUUUGACCUCUCACAAAAAGGAGCAGGAAAUCUUUACUACUUUUUUCCCACCACUUGGUUGUGCUAGUAAACAAAAUGCCCAAGCAGUAGGUUGUGCUGUGAGAAACACACUCAACACGACAGCACAAUGCUUCCUGUCGAUGAGACGUGAUACCUUCAAUAGGGAAACUCAUGAGGUAACCAGACGACAACGAGACACUUAACGAGACACUUAACGAGACACUUAAGCAUGAUUUAAAAUGUGUGGAAUGUCUCAUUGCCGUAGUUUAGCGAUCUGUCCUGGAUGUGCUGAUGUGGAGGAGCCACAAAACAAAAUGUUUGGAAUUCUGGAAUGAUGUAAUAAUGUAGCUCUAAAGUAAAAGUUUGAGCCUCUAGUAGACAUUUCUAUCUUUAAACCUAACAUGUGGUUCAAUGAUCACUGCUGUUGCUUGCUAGCUUUAUUAACUCCACUGUAAAAAGUAAAGAAACAAGCUUCAGCACGUUCUGGCUGAUCAGAGGAGAGACCUAGAUCAUGACACAAGCUCUGAGCUUCUCAUGAUUAUGUAAUCAAUCCUAAAUUCACAAACAUCUUUUAUUUAUUUAUUUAUUUAAUUUUUGGGGUCUAGAUGAUUUAUUCCAAACUCUAUCAGCACUGUUCGCGUUGUGUCUCCGGUGUGGUGCGGCUUUUCAUGAAUAUAUUAAUAUUUAAUGUUAAAGGGAUAUUCAGGUGGAUCGUGUUGAACUCUAACAAUCCAGUUUGUGCAAAAAAAAAAGCUCUUAUUGUCUGUGACUACGGAUUGAGCUGAAAUACUGGACCAACAGCUCCCGCGUGUUUCACUGGUUUACUGGAGCACUUUCCAGUUCAUCUAAAGGAAACUGGUGUAUUUUACUUAGUAGCUAAUUACUUGAAUUUGGGAGUGUAGACAUGAAAAAUGUGAUUAUGAGAACUGCGAUAUAAAAACACAGCUUUAAAUCGUACCGUUAUUAAAAGUACCGAAGUGACUUUUAACUAACCUGGGAGUUUUGUAUCGGUAAUUUACAGACGGUCCCUAAGUGACAAUGAACAUCUGUCGAAUAUCAAAACUAACCUAACUUCACCUCGGUGUAGUAAAUCGGCUGAUUUACAAACCAAACGUUGUCUAUUUGUGACUUUUUUAUUAUUUCUUAAUGUAGAGUUCUUUUGAUUUAUUUACUUUAUUUUUUUUAAUCGUUUAAGGCAACAGAUAUCGUUUUAACCUUCUGCAUGACUUAUGAUUGUUAUUCUACAUCGAAAUAGUUUUGCAUUUACAUCGGAUCUUUAUUUCCGUUUUUAAACCUAUAUUUUGUAUUUAUCUAAUCCCAUUUAGCUUCUAACUGAAAUGCGACUUCAGAGAGGAAAUUCCACCGUAAUGUAUUUUUAUUCGUAUAAACUGCAACUUGAUUAACGUCAAAUUUCUUUAUUUUUUUGUAAAUUUUUUAGCCGAUGUAUUUCUUUUAUUAGUUAGUCCCGUUGUUCAUUAUCAUUGUUCUUUUAUCAUAAUCAUUUCAGAGCAGUGCCUUUCUGUAUGUUUGGAAAUUGCAUGAUUCAACAACUGACACUGUGAUGAUGUGAGAAUCAAUUGUGGCAGAAGUUGAUGUUUUCAGCUGAUCUGAAGUCAGCUCUCUCUCUCUCUCUCUCUCUCUCUCUCUCUCUCUCUCUCUCUCUCUCUCUCUUGCUGUGAGUGUGCUUUAAUUUAUUGCUCAUUUCUGCUAACACUGUGAUCAGUGUCUCUGUACAAAGUGUUAGGAUGUAAAAUUACAACCACAAUGUGAAAGAAACAGAAACUUGUUAUUCUUUCUUAGUUAUAAUUAUAAUAUAGUUAUAAUAGUAGGCCGAGGAAUUAAAGGGGUUUCUCAAAAAAGAACAAACAAACAAACAAACAAAUAAAUAAAUAAAUAAAUAAAUAAAUAAAU